AUGAGCUAAGACCGAAAUUAGUUC
rnacentral:siRNA from 1 species